GGGGGCGAAACGGCUUCGACGGGGACAAAGAAGUGCUGGUUGCAUGCCGAGUGCCCUUCGGCUCGUAAACUCGAUGGGAACUAAAUAUAAUCGCAGACGAUUAUAACUACGCCGUAGCCGCUUAGUCGGCUGCCGUCCUGCCAUUUUUUUCCUGCGGAUCUGGUAAGGGCGUCGACUAGCAGGAUAGUUCAAGGCGAAUGACUGUGUCGCCUUGAAUGAAAUUCUUACAGCCUAGCGGACCUUGCCUCAUUCCUGAUGGAGCCUCGGCCCCGCGAAAUUAAUCAUCAGGAUAAGCAUGUAGACGCCAGUGCGGAAUGUUUUCGGACGCGGGUUCGACUCCCGCCGCCUCCACCA
rnacentral:tmRNA from 1 species